AAAGGGGGAAAUUUAAAAAGCAGCAGUGUGGCUUCAACUGUGUUUGGAUGGAUCAUGUUUUCAAAACAGAACCAAAGAAAAUGCUGCAACGGCCACUGUUACCAUGGUUACCAUGUCAGCCGUUAACACCAUCAGUUACGUUAGAGCCUCACUGAUGCUUCCACCACCAUGCCUAACAGUGGGAGAAGCGUUUACUGAUACAGCUCGGUUCGUCUGACCAGAGGUCCGAGGUGUGUGUGAAAGAGCUUUGAACGGAAUUACUGUGUGUGUGUGUGUGUGUGUGUGU